UAGGGAAUCUUCCACAAUGGACGCAAGUCUGAUGGAGCAACGCCGCGUGAGUGAAGAAGGCUUUCGGGUCGUAAAACUCUGUUAUUGAAGAAGAACGUGUGUGACAGUAACUGGUCAUGCAGUGACGGUAUUCAAUCAGAAAGUCACGGCUAACUACGUGCCAGCAGCCGCGGUAAUACGUAGGUGGCAAGCGUUGUCCGGAUUUAUUGGGCGUAAAGCGAGUGCAGGCGGUCUUUUAAGUCUGAUGUGAAAGCCUUCGGCUUAACCGAAGAAGGGCAUCGGAAACUGGGAGACUUGAGUGCAGAAGAGGAGAGUGGAACUCCAUGUGUAGCGGUGAAAUGCGUAGAUAUAUGGAAGAACACCAGUGGCGAAGGNGGCUCUCUGGUCUGUAACUGACGCUGAGGCUCGAAAGCGUGGGUAGCAAACAGGNUUAGAU
rnacentral:rRNA from 1 species